ensembl:lncRNA
CGGCGCUGCCUCGGGCUCUGUGCGCUGCAGCCCGGAGCCGAGGAGGAGGAGGCGGAGGAGGAGAAGGAGGCGGCGGCGGUGGGUCCCGGGCGGGGGGAGCGCGGCGCUGCGGACCCAGGCGGCUGGCAAAGGACGAGGCGGAGGCUGAGGAAGGCAGCGGGGAGACCCGGGCUGCAGCAACAAAGGGCAGCGAGCGAACGGCCGGGCUGCGGGCGAGACUUGCCUGAAGACCUGGACAAUCUUCAUUUUUGUCACAGAC